GUGCCAGCAGCCGCGGUAAUACGUAGGGGGCGAGCGUUGUCCGAAUUUACUGGGCGUAAAGCGCGCGUAGGCGGUUUCUUAAGUCUGGGGUGAAAGGUUCAACGCUCAACGUGAACAGUGCCUUGGAUACUGGGAGACUUGAGUCUGGGAGGGGGUAGUGGAAUUCCUGGUGUAGCGGUGAAAUGCGUAGAUAUCAGGAGGAACACCGGUGGCGAAGGCGGCUACCUGGCCUAAGACUGACGCUGAGGUGCGAAAGCGUGGGGAGCGAACGGGAUUAGAAACCCCAGUAGUCC
rnacentral:rRNA from 1 species